CCCUGAUAAGUGACAGGCGUACAGCGAAAUUCCUGGUCUGCAGGACCAGACCUUCUACUCCGCCCCCUCCCGCUUAGCGCUAUCACGGAAUCUCUGACGCAAUCCGCCGGUUGGACGCGCUCAACGCCACAAGAUGAUUGCUACCUGAGCUGCUGAGUAUUCCAAUAUUUUGGCCCUGAUCUUCCACAGAGUGGCAAUCAGAGUCUGAAGCCAGUCUGCUCCUAGUUAGUUAGCUGGAAAUCCACCGACCCUUUCUCACCCAACUUUCUGAUUCAGACCUGACGAGAAACGUGUAGGGCCGCAUGUCCCUGAGGUCUUCUGUCAAGGGCUGCAGAGUCAGAGGAAAGGAAGCCACGCCCCCUUUUAUACGGCACUGGCAUGAAGAUGUCAGCUUUGCUGGCUGGGGAAGCAUUUAUUGCCCAUCCCUAGUUACCCUUGAGAA